rnacentral:lncRNA from 1 species
UGCACGUCGUCGAUGCUCCCGGCCUUCUCGGCGAGCUCCGUCGACGAGAACCUCUCCCUCGCUUCCCACUCCUCCGUCCUCCUCUUCUCCUGCAGGAACCACCGCUUCCUGAGCACGGCCAUGAGGUGCUGCCGGAGCACGAGCCCGUGCAGCUCCGACACCCCCGGCCGUGGCCGGUCGAGCACGGGGAAGCCGUUGUGCGGCGUGGCGCGCAGCACCGCGACGAUGGUGGACACCUUCUCGACGACCUGGAGCGUGACGGCGCGCGGCUUGGCGGCGGCGAGCUCGCCGACGGUGAGGUCCUUCAUCCACGUCUCCGGCUUGGGCUCGAGGAACGGCAGGCCCUUGAGGUCGAGGAUGAUCUCGUAGAUGCUGGGGUUGAAGGCGUCGCCGACGGUCUUGGCGAUGAGGAGCACGAACAUGGUGAUGGGGAGGAGUAGGAGGUUGUUGGUGAGCUCGAGGAAGAUGACGCAGAGCG